rnacentral:rRNA from 1 species
UACGUAGGGUGCAAGCGUUGUCCGGAAUUAUUGGGCGUAAAGAGCUCGUAGGCGGUUUGUCGCGUCGAAUGUGAAAACCCGGGGCUCAACCCCGGGCCUGCAUUCGAUACGGGCAGACUAGAGUUCGGUAGGGGGAGUCGUGGAAUUCCUGGGUGUAGCGGUGAAAUGCGCAGAUAUCAGGAGGAACACCGGUGGCGAAGGCGGGUCGCUGGGCAACAACUGACGCUGAGGAGCGAAAGCGUGGGGAGCGAACAGG